CUGGGCUACACCCGGGAAGGCAGGAUGGAGCCUCUAAGAGUCACCCAAACGUUUCAGCCCCAGGCCUGCUGGCCCUGGCUGGUGGGCCUUCCCGCCUCACAGCUGCCCUCCCCCGAAGACACCGCAAAGGUGUGAAAAAGUCCAGCAUGAACUCAGACAGGCCACAGACCAGGACCAGAGCCUCCUGUAGAUCAAGCUGCUGCAGAAGGAGCAAUGAGCAUGCCUGCUCCCUUGAGAGACCUGAGGAGGAUGAAGGAAAAUACGGACAACUCGAAUCCAUGACUAUGUUCAGUCUAGGAUCAAGGCCUCCUCACAAAAGCCAUCUCCUUGUAUCUGAGAACUCAACAGACCGUCUGGAAUCAGUUGCGGCAUCACAAUCCUGUAACACCAGAACUCCCAGGCAGAGAUGGAUGUCUGCAAGUGCCAGGUGGCUUGGUCUACACAGUGUGAAAAAGUCCAGCAUGAACUCAGACAGGGAGACCUGAGGAGGAUGAAGGAAAAUACAGACAACUUGAAUCCAUGACAGUCUUCAGUCUAGGAUCAAGGCCUCCUCACAAAAGCCAUCUCCUUGUAGCUGAGAACUCAACAGGCAGCCACUUGACCGUCAACAACAACAACAACAACAACAACAACAAUAAUAAAGACUGUGGAUGUUGCUGCUGAUCUUGUGCACUGUGGAUUCAGAUGCUGAGUUCUGUACCCCAAGAUCAAGUUGCAGUCUGGACAUGGGUGUGCUGUCCCAGUCCUGUAACCUCAUAAUGCACAAGCGAGUUCCAGGCACUUUGGGCUGCACCGUGAGUUCUCAGCCGGGGAUGUCAGUGCUCCGCAGCCGGGGAUGUCAGUGCUCCGCAGCCGGGGAUGUCAGUGCUCUGCAGCCAGGGAUGUCAGUGCUCCUCAGCCGGGGAUGUCAGUGCUCCGCAGCCGGGGAUGUCAGUGCUCCGCAGCCGGGGAUGUCAGUGCUCCGCAGCCAGGGAUGUCAGUGCGCCACAGGGGAUGGGGUCCUGGAAGUACAUAGCACAACCGACUCUGCGGAUGCCCACUUCAUGGUGGGAACACUUUCUAUAUUGCAUCCUUGAGGUCAUGUGUUUAGCUGCCACUAUAAUACAGUCCUCUGUUUGCAGAUGCCUGUGAAUGACUAUGCAGACCAAAUUAAUGAGAAACACAACCUUACUGCCGUAAUACUUUAGGAAAUAAAACCAUUCAAAAUAAAUCACAAAACCCAGAGCCUUCUGCCUCCAGUUUUCUAGAAAAUAGCACCAGUGAUAAUCACACUGCACAGAUAAUGUCCUCCAAGACAGGCUGGGUCAUAUUUUUGUUGUGGUGGUCGUGGUGGUGGUAGUUGUGGUUUUUGAUGUUGUUGGCCUUGACUAUGCAUUUGGUGCCAUCAACCCUUUUUUUCAUCCAAGUUUUAUUUCUUUCAUUUCUAUGUACAGGUAUUUUGUCUACUAGAUACAUGUGUACCACGUGCAUGCAGUUCCAUCAGGGACCAGAAGAGGGCAACAGAUUCCAUGUGGACUGAGUUACAGAGGACUGUUAGCUGCUCCUUGGGUCCUCUGGGAGAAAAACAAAUCUUCUGAAGGGAUGAGCCAUCUCUCCAGUCCCUACACUUGACUUUGUCCUUAUAGCUGUGUGUGCCCAUUAGUUAGACUGAAUCCCCCACAAGAGAGAGAAGUGUUUGGAGACCUAGAGGGACGAGUGCAUGAGGUAAGCAUACUGGUUGUCUUAGGCUGCCAAGUACCCAUAUAAGGCAUUUGUGUGUUCAAGAUCUAAGUAGGAUCAUGGCUGCGGCAACCUCUGGAGGAUGAUGUGGGAAUCACAGCCCUAGCACCCUGUGUGAAAUUUGCCCAUGGUCCCAAAGUUCUGCAGCUUCCAGUCAAAGGUUAGUGUCAACGGAGGAAAUCCUAGGAGGUAUCUGGAAACUGUGGUCCGGGCCCUCAUCACUAGCUUCAGGAGGACCUGUAUCUUUCUUACGUAUUUAUUUGUGUGUGAUGCUGGGCACUGAACCCAGAGCUCCACCCACGCUAGGUCAACUUCCUAUCACUAACCAGGUGCCCAGCCCAAGAACUGGGCUUAUAUAUGUGGAUGCAGAUAUACAUGGCUUGCAUUUCUUUAUUUUUCUUUCCCUCUUUCACACAUCUAUAUAUACAUAUAUUACUCAUGACUGAAAAGAAAUGCCACACUAUGUCCCCUCUCCCUCUUAUUUGGACCCCUUUCUCCCUCUACAUUGUCACUUUUCUGCUUUCACAUCUCAUAUGCACUUCUAUACACCUAUCUAUAUACAUCAUAUGUGGAGAUAUAUAUAUAUAUAUAUAUUUGAAUUUAUUUAUGGAAGAUUACUCACUUCUGUGAUUAGCGUAUAUGUGGAGAUCAGAAGACAACUUGUAGGAGUUGGUUCUCUCCUUCCACUUUGCAGGUCCCAAGGGUAGAACUCAGGAGGUCAGGCUUAGCUACAAGCACCUUUACCUGCUGAGCCAUUUCACAGGCCCCAUAGUUAAAUUUAGAUUCCAGAAAACAAACGGUAGCAAGUGCUGGUGGUACAGGGAAAGCGGGACUCUUAUCCACUGUUGGCAGAAAUAGAAGCUAGUGCCACUGUUUUGAAAAUCAAUGUAGAGGCUUUUCAAAAACUAAAAAUACAGCAUGACCCAGCUAUACCAAACUCUUUGGCAUAUACACAUUCAUGUAAUAAACAGUAAGUUGCUCUUUCUGCUGUCAUUCCUGGGAUAUCCACCGGCAAGACAGCAAUAUCCAUGUGCUAGUAAAUGGGACAGAGACAAAUCACUUCAGAGACAGUUUCAGAGGACAGCGCUUACUGUAUUGCAUGUGAGCAAACUCUUAUAUAGUGGAAACCUGUGAUUGGUUAGCACAUUACCUCGGAUUGAAUACUGAGUGUUCAUACCGCCACUCUAGGCAGAAGAGGCUCAUUAAAGCAGACAUGGAGAGCAUCGCAGAGUCCUCAGCAGGCCAGCUGCUUCAGAAUUCUAUAUGCUGCCUUCAGGAACAUGGUGCGCCAUGCUUAUUUAGAAGCCCAGGGUGCUAGGUAGGCUGGUCACCAGGUCACGCCAGCAUUCUCUCCAACACUUUUCACAGGAACAAGGAAAAAGAGUUGAUCUGCUUGCCCAUCAAUAAAUGGAUAAUGAAAAUGUGGUGCACACACAGUGGAAUUAUAUUCAGCUGGGAAAGAAAGUAAAAUUUGCAAAAUAAAAAAGGAACCAAAAAACACU
ensembl:lincRNA 4933413J09Rik RIKEN cDNA 4933413J09 gene